ensembl:lncRNA
ACAGCGACCGAUCCGACAUCGAAACACGGGGAAGACGCAAUCACCGAGACCCGGGUGAAGCCUCUCUCUGAUGGGUAUCCAGUCCACCCAGUCAUCUCUUCAGGGACAUUAGGGUCAGUGGAGCCAAGUCUUCUCUCACCCUGGACUAAAGUGACCCCAGCUUCAGAACUGAACCAUACAGCAUCACCACUCACUGACUGCCCAGUCCUCCCACAUGCUGUUUAGGGGGGAGAGAUGAGUCCGACAGUUCCUCUCUUCCUCUCUCUGUAGUGUCGCCCACAGGUGGUUUGUCCUCUCCUUCAGCACAGCUGUCCUCCGAUUGUCUCAGCACAGCGCUGUCUGUGUGUGUGUGUCCAUGCGUGUGUGUGCGUGCGUGCAUACGUUUGUGUGAGUGUGUCUGUGUGUGUUGUGCGGUGUAUGUGUGUCAGCCCUGCAUGUGUGUGUGAUUGACAGUGUGUGUGUGUGUAUGUGUGUGUGUAUAACAAAACCUCAGCAGAUGGAUUGCUGUUUAAAGCCAGUAAAUAAAGGACCUGCCUGGUAAACAUAAGAACAGGGAUUCAUAUAUUAUCCCAG